rnacentral:rRNA from 1 species
AGUGGGGAAUAUUGGACAAUGGGCGCAAGCCUGAUCCAGCAAUGCCGCGUGAGUGAUGAAGGCCUUCGGGUUGUAAAGCUCUUUCGCCCACGACGAUGAUGACGGUAGUGGGAGAAGAAGCCCCGGCUAACUUCGUGCCAGCAGCCGCGGUAAUACGAAGGGGGCUAGCGUUGUUCGGAAUGACUGGGCGUAAAGGGCGCGUAGGCGGCGCAUCAAGUCGGGCGUGAAAGCCCCGGGCUCAACCUGGGAACUGCGUUCGAGACUGAUGUGCUGGAGUUCGGGAGAGGAGAGUGGAAUUCCCAGUGUAGAGGUGAAAUUCGUAGAUAUUGGGAAGAACACCGAUGGCGAAGGCAGCUCUCUGGACCGAUACUGACGCUGAGGCGCGAAAGCGUGGGGAGCAAA